AGUGAACGCUGGCGGUAGGCCUAACACAUGCAAGUCGAACGGCAGCACAGUAAGAGCUUGCUCUUACGGGUGGCGAGUGGCGGACGGGUGAGGAAUACAUCGGAAUCUACUUUUUCGUGGGGGAUACCGUAGGGAAACUUACGCUAAUACCGCAUACGACCUACGGGUGAAAGCAGGGGAUCUUCGGACCUUGCGCGAUUGAAUGAGCCGAUGUCGGAUCAGCUAGUUGGCGGGGUAAAGGCCCACCAAGGCGACGAUCCGUAGCUGGUCUGAGAGGAUGAUCAGCCACACUGGAACUGAGACACGGUCCAGACUCCUACGGGAGGCAGCAGUGGGGAAUAUUGGACAAUGGGCGCAAGCCUGAUCCAGCCAUACCGCGUGGGUGAAGAAGGCCUUCGGGUUGUAAAGCCCUUUUGUUGGGAAAGAAAAGCAGCAGGUUAAUACCCCGCUGUUCUGACGGUACCCAAAGAAUAAGCACCGGCUAACUUCGUG
rnacentral:rRNA from 1 species